GAUGAACGCUGGCGGCGUGCCUAAUACAUGCAAGUCGAGCGAACAGACGAGGAGCUUGCUCCUCUGACGUUAGCGGCGGACGGGUGAGUAACACGUGGAUAACCUACCUAUAAGACUGGGAUAACUUCGGGAAACCGGAGCUAAUACCGGAUAAUAUAUUGAACCGCAUGGUUCAAUAGUGAAAGACGGUUUUGCUGUCACUUAUAGAUGGGUCCGCGCCGCAUUAGCUAGUUGGUAAGGUAACGGCUUACCAAGGCGACGAUGCGUAGCCGACCUGAGAGGGUGAUCGGCCACACUGGAACUGAGACACGGUCCAGACUCCUACGGGAGGCAGCAGUAGGGAAUCUUCCGCAAUGGGCGAAAGCCUGACGGAGCAACGCCGCGUGAGUGAUGAAGGUCUUCGGAUCGUAAAACCCUGUUAUUAGGGAAGAACAAAUGUGUAAGUAACUAUGCACGUCUUGACGGUACCUAAUCAGAAAGCCACGGCUAACUACGUG
rnacentral:rRNA from 1 species